CCUACGGGUGGCAGCAGUGGGGAAUAUUGGGCAAUGGGCGCAAGCCUGACCCAGCAACGCCGCGUGAAGGAAGAAGGCUUUCGGGUUGUAAACCUCUUUUGUCAGGGACGAAGCAAGUGACGGUCCCUGACGAAUAAGCCACUGCUAACUACGCGCCAGCAGCCGCGGUAAUACGUAGGUGGCAAGCGUUAUCCGGAUUUACUGGGUGUAAAGGGCGUGUAGGCGGGGAAGCAAGUCAGAUGUGAAAACCACGGGCUCAACCUGUGACCUGCAUUUGAAACUGUUUUUCUUGAGUGCAGGAGAGGUAGGCGGAAUGCCGGGUGUAGCGGUGAAAUGCGUAGAGAUAAGGAGGAACACCGGUGGCGAAGGCGGAUUACUGGACAGUAACUGACGCUGAGGCGCGAAAGCGUGGGGAGCAAACAGGAUUAGAUACCCCAGUAGUC
rnacentral:rRNA from 1 species